rnacentral:misc_RNA from 1 species
GGGAGUUCUUGAUUCUGUUUCUGUUAAGGAAAAGCAAGAUUUUGAAGAUAAGCUUUGCGUGCUUUUGUAGAUUUUAAGAGAAGAACUUAAUUUUGGAAACUUCAACAAGCCAUUGCAGAUGAAGUUUUACUUAUUCAUCUAAAUUUUAGUAGUAUUGAUCAGAAUAGUAUGCUCUGUAAUCUCUAAUGCAAAUCUCACUGAACUCUCUGUCAGUAAUGCAGAACAAACAUAAAGAAAAGAAAAGAAAAGAA